UACGAAGGGGGGCUAGCGUUGCUCGGAAUCACUGGGCGUAAAGGGUGCGUAGGCGGGUCUUUAAGUCAGAGGUGAAAUCCUGGAGCUCAACUCCAGAACUGCCUUUGAUACUGAAGAUCUUGAGUUCGGGAGAGGUGAGUGGAACUGCGAGUGUAGAGGUGAAAUUCGUAGAUAUUCGCAAGAACACCAGUGGCGAAGGCGGCUCACUGGCCCGAUACUGACGCUGAGGCACGAAAGCGUGGG
rnacentral:rRNA from 1 species